UUUUAAUGGAGAUUUAAAACUUAAUGCAAAAGAAAGUUUUAUAUAUCAUUAGCAAGUGAUUAACUUAAAUUAUGUUUUAAUAAUGUGAAUACAGUGUUAGACCUCAAAAAAGAAACUACAAAGUUCCCUGCAACCUAAAAUGUUGGAAAGGCUCCUUAAAUUGUCUUUACCUACCAACUUUAUAAUACUCAGUGGCAUCUUGAGGGACAUAAGAAAAUAUGAGGUUCUUUUCAGCUAUGAUUUGGAGCUUCAGUAAAGCUGUAUGGUAAUGUCACUAUGGGACCAUAAAAUUUUCCCAAAAGUACUUCCAAUAGCAUAGGCAUUUCAGAGGCUUAAUAUUAAUAGUUCAAAGAAUAGAAAGCAACUAAUUUAUCCUUGGGAACUGUAAAAGAUAAAUCCUUAGAGAAGCUUUCUAGAAUACAGAACUCAAGGAUAUCAGUUCUGUGAAGUCUCGGUGAGACACUCCAAGGCACAGUGUUGAGCACAGCCUGGUAAUCAAGAUGUCACUGCACUGUACUUUAGGAGGUUCAGGAUGCUGUGCUUGAAGUAACAGGACAUUGACUUUAUCCCUAGUUAAGAGCACCAGGUGUCAAGCUCAGCUUCCAUUUACACAGGAUGCACCAAGAAAUCCUUAGGAUGACCAGUGGUUCGGGUACUGCAUUCCUAACACUUUUUACCUUUCUGCUUUAGGGUUCACUUUAGUUAAAGCCGAGGUUUGUAGGACUUUAAGAGCUCUGACUGCCCUAAGAGUGGUCUUAAAACAAAGUCCCUUUCAAAGAGCUCACUGGAUACUGGAAAGAAAUAAAGGCAACAACUAUAAUAGCUUAAUUUCUUCCAAAUGAGAAAUGUUAGAAAUGGUAUGUAGGCUAAAUAUCUGAUGAGUAUCAAAAUUUGCAAUAUAACUAAUAGACAUUUAGUAGGGAAAAAUAUACUGUAUUGGCAAGGUUAACUAUUUGUGUGAAAUAUUCUAUAUAUCAACUGAACAAAAAAAAUUUUCAAAUCUCUAGAAGCCUGUAAUGAGAAACAGCUAAAAGACAAAUGUUAGAGAACUUAUUACCUUGAACACAUUAACACACUUGAUAUAGGAAUAUUUCACUUUUAAAACUAGUGUUGGCUGUAGAAAAGCUGGUAAAGGCCUGUGUACCGGGAUGUGGUUUCUAGUACGGGAGUUGAUCAAGUUACGCACGUUACGGCUUUCAAAAGAAUGAAUCACCUCCACUUGAAGCCUCUUUCACAGACUUAACUCAUAGUUUAUGACUUCUGUUUACUAGUUCAAAACUAAGCAGGAGAGGAACUAAGCUGACUAGUCAGGCUUGGAAUGCACAAUGGUUUGGCAAAUCGCAGUCACUCAGCUCAAGGAUGUGCAAUAAUCUGCAGGAAAGCUGCUCGAUUCUGGUAGUCUGUUCCUUCACAUCUGUAGAGGAGUUCUGUACAGCCAUUUUUCUUUAUCAACCUUAAGCUGCAUACAGGCAAAGAGAUCACAAACUGCUGGGAGGCCGUAACAGUCGGGGCGAAAGUUACGUUCUUCUUGUAGGGGUGAAUUAAGAAAUGCUUCCUGUGCCUUCUUUCGAAGUAGCCACUUAUCUUCUCCAGAGGGGAACUGGCUGAGGCUUCCCACUUUCUUUCCUGGUAAAACCCAGUCGGCAGUGUUAAAGGGACACCAGGAAGUGGCCAUGGAGCUUUGAAGCAUCUCUUUGCCAGCUCUCUCCUCUGUAUUAGGCACGUCCUUAGGGCCUCCUUUGCACGUAGGCCCUAUAAGCCACUCUGACAAGGAACUAUUCUUUAUGACGUGGAAGGAAUCAGCAAUUCUAGCAGGAGCCAUAGCCUUGGGUGCCUUAGCUUGUUCUGUUAGCUCAUUUCUGGAAGGGCAGAGCCACAGUGUCAGGGACUCUCUGUGUUUCUCAGGCUCAGAUUUAGGUUCCAUAGGCAUUCCAUUCUUGUCCUUUCCUCCCUUCUUCAGAAGCCAUUUAUACACGGCUUCCUUCUCACAGUUGUCAUCACACACACACUCUGCAAAACUGGUGCAGGGCUCGUUGGCUUUACACACUUCCUCUACUUUCCAUGUGUCCUGAUGGUUCUGGGCAAGCCAGCCGUCGCUGAUUGUUGCGCCGGGGACCGACACUGAUUUUUUGGCCUCCAAGUGGUCAUUUAGGCAUUUCAGAUUGCCCAGGUUCUCAAUCUCCACACCUCUAGGCUGGUUGCCCUGACAGUUGGUACAGGAGUCAGGCUUGACAAGCCAAUCACUCACAUUGUAGGGCUCUCUGAACACCUGGAACAAGAGUUUAAACUUCUCGCUGGUUUCCCAGCUGCCAUCCACAGGCUUCUCCAGCUCACAGGGUUCCUGAGGAGUCACCAACCAAUCAGACAGGUCCAGCUCGUCUUGAUCAAGGAGCUCUACAUCUUCAGCCUUUUCAGCUUCAGGAGAGAAAGAACUGGUGCUACAAUGGCUGUUACAUUUUGAGGAACUUGGUUUUCCAGCAAUUUCUUGUUGAUGACUGUUAAGGAGCCAAUUUUCUAAGCCCUUCAGAUUGCCCCAGGCAUCGCUGAAGAAACUGCAGGCUCUGGCAGAAGUCUGACUAUUCUCUGAAGUCUGUUUUGGGAUAAGCCAGUCCUGUGGGUUGGUACUGGGUACAUAAGGAGCCUGAAGACCAAUGGCAGGUUUGCUUACAAGAAGCCACUCACUCAGAGAUACAGCUGUGCCACUGGAUGCUGACUUCUGCUCUGGCACCUGGAUAUAGCCUCUUUUCUCUAGGAAAGGCCCAAUACUUGAGGAGCUCGCGUGAGCCAUCAGAUGCUCAGGGAUUUGAAUGGUCUUAAGGGAUCCAAAUGUGGUGAUGGUCUGGCGCAGAGCAGAUGUAUCUGCUUCAAAGAGUAGGACAGUUGAAUCUUCAGGCUUCAGGGCCAAACUGCCCAGUCUCUCCAAGCACACAGAGACUUGAUUGGCAAGAUCUUUGUUCUGAGUAUACUCCAGUUGAUGAAUAAGACAAUUGAAUUGGCCCAUUAGCCAAUAGAGCUGCUGAGCCUGCUGCUGCAGUGUCUCCUCUUUAAGCUGAUAGAUGAGAUCGACCUGUUCAUUGAGCCACACCUCUCGGCUCCGAAGGCAUUCCAGGUGGCGACUUAUGCAGCUGUGAAUCUGAGCUUUUACCUCUCGUAAAUUAUCUUUAAUUUGCUGUUCAGCCCGAAGUACUCCACCAAUAGCAAGCUCCAGCUCCCUCCUUGCAUCACUGCACCUCAGAAGAGUUUCUCUAUUACUGUAGCAGCCACUCUGUUCCAGGGAUGUGUUCAUUCUGCUCACUGUUCCAGCUUCAGACAUUUCCAACUGCAUUGUGGAGAGCA
rnacentral:lncRNA from 1 species